rnacentral:rRNA from 1 species
UACGUAGGGUGCAAGCGUUAAUCGGAAUUACUGGGCGUAAAGCGUGCGCAGGCGGCUUUGCAAGACAGAUGUGAAAUCCCCGGGCUUAACCUGGGAACUGCAUUUGUGACUGCAUGGCUAGAGUGCGGCAGAGGGGAUGAAUUCCGCGUGUAGCAGUGAAAUGCGUAGAUAUGCGGAGGAACACCGAUGGCGAAGGCGGCUCUCUGGGACGGUACUGACGCUGAGACGCGAAAGCGUGGGAGCAAACAGG